rnacentral:lncRNA from 1 species
ACUGAUUAAUAGUUUAGUUAAUAUUCUAUUUAGACAAACUCAUGUUACCUUUUAUGUAAACUAACAGCUAAAAGAAAAUAUAGUAGCAAAUAGCAAGGCCAUCAGUUUCAGGCAAUUGCAUAGCAGCUCGACCAAUAGAUCAUCAAAACCGGUUGCUAUCAUGGACAUGGAAGAUCAGUGUAAAGGUGACAUUGUCUUUGUUCAGAAGGAGAAGGACGAGCAUGCAACGAGGUAUCCGAACAAAGCUCGUGGAUUGAAGAAAAAGGAGGAGAAGAGUCGGAGUUGCAAGUCAAACAAUAGCUGGUUAACUGUGUUUUAUUGCUUUGAUCGUUUAUACCGUUACCUGUAGUCAGAAGCUUAAAACUCAGUGGUUCAUUUCUAGUGUUCAUGUGUUUUGCUUUUGCAUUUUAAUUGCUUUUUCUUAAUAGUGUUCUUAUUCUCUAUACAUAAAUAAAUUCAUUCCAGUUUUAUAAACGACGGAAAUUUCUGUUAUUGAAGACUUUUUUUUAUUCAAUUAAAAAUGGAGAUUCAAUUUUAGUUUAAAUGUACAAAUAUACUUUUUUGGUAUAUUUUUUUUUGUAAUAAAUCGUAGAGAAGUAUAUGGUUCUUUUUAAAAUUUUAAAACUCCAUCAAAU